rnacentral:rRNA from 1 species
UAGUAGGCAAGCGAUGGGGUGACGCAGGAAGGUAGCUGAGCCCGGUGAGUGGUUGUGCCGGGGUAAGCGUGUAGGCCGUGUCAUAGGCAAAUCCGUGACACAUGUAGCUGAGACGUGAUGCCGAGCCGAUUCAGGUGAAGUCAGUGAUCCUAUGCUGCCGAGAAAAAAAGCCUCUAGCGAGUUCUUAGCGGCCCGUACCCUAAACCGACACAGGUGGUCAGGUAGAGAAUACCGAGGCGACGGGUGAACUGUGGUUAAGGAACUCGGCAAAUUGCCCCCGUAACUUAGGGAGAAGGGGGGCCGGACGCGUGAAGCCCCUUUGCGGGUGGAGCGUGGUAUGGCCGCAGAGAGCAGGGGGAAGCGACUGUUUACUAAAAAAAACACAGUCCAUGCGAAGUCGUAAGACGAUGUAUAUGGACUGACGCCUGCCCGGUGCUGGAACGUUAAGGGGACCGGUUAGCUCUUCGGGGCGAGGCUGAGAACUUAAGCGCCAGUAAACGGCGGUGGUAACUAUAACCAUCCUAAGGUAGCGAAAUUCCUUGUCGGGUAAGUUCCGACCUGCACGAAUGGCGUAACGACUUCCCCACUGUCUCAACCACAGGCCCGGCGAAAUUGCAGUACGAGUAAAGAUGCUCGUUACGCGCGGCAGGACGGAAAGACCCCGGGACCUUUACUAUAGCUUGACAUUGGUAUUUGGGUUGGCUUGUGUAGGAUAGGUGGGAGCCGGUGAAGCUCGGACGCCAGUUCGGGUGGAGGCAAUCUUGAAAUACCACUCUGGUUGAUCUGGGUAUCUAACUUCGGGCUUAUCGGGUUCAGGGACAGUGUCUGGUGGGUAGUUUAACUGGGGCGGUUGCCUCCUAAAGGGUAACGGAGGCGCCCAAAGGUUCCCUCAGCCUGGUUGGCAAUCAGGUGUUGAGUGUAAGUGCACAAGGGAGCUUGACUGUGAGACUGACGGGUCGAGCAGGGACGAAAGUCGGGACUAGUGAUCCGGCACUUGCGUGUGGAAGCGGUGUCGCUCAACGGAUAAAAAAAGGUACCCCGGGGAUAACAGGCUGAUCUUCCCCAAGAGUCCAUAUCGACGGGAUGGUUUGGCACCUCGAUGUCGGCUCGUCGCAUCCUGGGGCUGUAGCAGGUCCCAAGGGUUGGGCUGUUCGCCCAUUAAAGCGGUACGCGAGCUGGGUUUAGAACGUCGUGAGACAGUUCGGUCCCUAUCCGCCGCGCGCGUAGGAUACUUGAGAAGGGCUGUCCCUAGUACGAGAGGACCGGGACGGACGAACCUCUGGUGUGCCAGUUGUCCUGCCAUGGGCAUGGCUGGUUGGCUACGUUCGGAAGGGAUAACCGCUGAAAGCAUCUAAGCGGGAAGCUCGCUUCAAGAUGAGGUAUCCCACCCACUUGUUGGGGUAAGGCUCCCAGUAGAUGACUGUUGAUAGGCCGGAGAUGUAAGCACGGUAACGUGUUGAGUUGACCGGUACUAAUAGGCCGAGGACUUGACU